rnacentral:rRNA from 1 species
AGAGUUUGAUCAUGGCUCAGGAUGAACGCUAGCUACAGGCUUAACACAUGCAAGUCGAGGGGCAGCAUGUUGGUUGCUUGCAACCAAUGAUGGCGACCGGCGCACGGGUGAGUAACGCGUAUCCAACCUACCCUUGUCCAUCGGAUAACCCGUCGAAAGGCGGCCUAACACGAUAUGCGGUUCUCAGCAGGCAUCUAACGAGAACGAAAUGUGAAGGAGAAGGAUGGGGAUGCGUCUGAUUAGCUUGUUGGCGGGGUAACGGCCACCAAGGCGACGAUCAGUAGGGGUUCUGAGAGGAGGUCCCCCANAUUGGAACUGAGACACGGUCCAAUCCUACGGGAGCA